GGGGCGAAGGAGCGGCGGGGCCAAGUUGGGCGCCGGGCGGGAGCCGAGACCGCCGCGGACCCCGCAAUCCCGCAGCCGGCGACUGGAGCCCACCUCUGCGGAGACAAAGAUGCUCGAGGAUUCAGCAAACACUGGGGAAGCAGAGGACAGAGGUUUGGUCGUGAAAUAGCAACACCUUCUGCACUGAAGAAUAAUUAAACAAUAUUUUUAAUUAUACAGGAAAAUCAAGCACGUUGUUGGACCCUCCCAAGCUAGAGCACUUUACACUGGUCUGUAUGUGUGGAACUGAACAGAGCUUGUUCAAUUCUGAAAUAUUCUGAGAAAUUACUUCAAUUGUCAAUUUUCCUCUACCCAAAUAAAGGCAGAGCUUUA